UACGUAGGGUGCAAGCGUUGUCCGGAAUUAUUGGGCGUAAAGAGCUCGUAGGCGGCUGUUCAAGUCGAACGUGAAAACUCGGAGCUCAACUCCGAGCCUGCGUUCGAUACUGGACGGCUAGAGUCUGGUAGGGGGAUCUGGAAUUCCUGGUGUAGCGGUGGAAUGCGCAGAUAUCAGGAGGAACACCGGUGGCGAAGGCGCCACUCUGGGCCGAAACUGACGCUGAGGAGCGAAAGCGUGGGUAGCAAACAGG
rnacentral:rRNA from 1 species